GCCUGGGGCAUGGCUGGCUGUUGCCGUUCAUCUCGGCCUCCUGGCCCACUGAGCAGAACACACAGAAGCUGGGCCCACCCCUGCCCUCCCCACAAAGGGUCACGGGAGCCACCGCCUGACUUUGAAGCCCACUAACUUGCGGCUGACAAGAGAAAAGGGUGUGCCCCUGUGAUCAUGUGAAAGCAUCAGCCAGGGGUCCAAGAACUUCCCUCUGGAGCCUGACACUCCCAGCGUGGCACCUGGCAGGGAACAGAUUCUCUCCAAACCUUUGUGAAUGAAUGAAGGAUAACGUCACUAGAAUCCAUCCCUGUUUUAUUUUUUAUUUUUAUUUUUUGAGACAGAGUCUCACUCUGUCGCCCAGGCUGGAGUGCAGUGGCACAAUCUCAGCUCACUGCAACCUCUGCCUCCCCGGUUCAAGUGAUUCUCCUGCCUCAACCUCCUGAGUAGCUGGGAUUACAGGCACCCAUCACCAUGCCUGGCUAAUUUUUGUGUGUGUUUUUAGUACAGAUGGGGUUUCACAACGUUGGCCAGACUGGUCUUGAACUCCUGACCUCAGGUGAUCCGCCUGCCUCGGCCUCCCAAAGUGUUGAGAUUACAGGCAUGAGCCACCAUGCCCGGCCCCACCCCCAUUUUAUAGACAAGGAUACCAAGGCUCAGAGAGGGGAAGCCACUUGCCAAGGACGCACAGGAGGAGACCAGUGAGCAGGACCUCUGGUCUGUCUGGGAGGUCACUGGGCCUCUUCCCAGAGUCUCUGCUUGGUGAGCCAGGAUUUUACACCCGCCUUGGGCCCAGUGGACUGAGAGGACAUGGGCUGGGGUGUCGGAAGCUGCAGAGCUGAUCCCUCCUGCUUGGCUGGAGGCUUGCGGACCUGGCAGGCAGGCUGGGGAGGCAGCGGGCGACUUGAAAAUGCACUCACUACCACAGGCUCAAAAGUGAUGGCGCCUGUCAGGGACCGGGAGGCAGGGCCUGUCUUUUCUUGCUGUUUUAUUGCCUUCAAAAUCUGGACCAAGUGGUUUCUGGAUGGAGUCACAGUAACCUCAUGUCUAUUCAAGCAAUUCGUUCAUUGCUUCAUUUAGUAAAAUACUCACAAAACAAG